rnacentral:rRNA from 1 species
AUUGAACGCUGGCGGCAGGCUUAACACAUGCAAGUCGAGCGAGCGGCGGACGGGUGAGUAAUGUCUGGGGAACUGCCUGAUGGAGGGGGAUAACUACUGGAAACGGUAGCUAAUACCGCAUACCAUCAGAUGUACCCAUAUGGGAUUAGCUAGUAGGUGGGGUAAUGGCUCACCUAGGCGACGAUCCCUAGCUGGUCUGAGAGGAUGAUCAGCAACACUGGGACUGAGACACGGUCCAGACUCCUACGGGAGGCAGCAGUGGGGAAUAUGGCACAAUGGGCGCAAGCCUGAUGCAGCCAUGCCGCGUGUAUGAAGAAGGCCUUCGGGUUGUAAAGUACUUUCAGCGAGGAGGCGUUACUCGCAGAAGAAGCACCGGCUAACUCCGUGCCAGCAGCCGCGGUAAUAC